GCCGGGCGUUGUGGCGGGCGCCUGUGGUCCCAGCUACUUGGGAGGUGGAGGCAGGAGACUCGCUUGAGCCCAGGAGUUGGAGGUUGCUGUGAGCUGUAAUGCCAUGGCACUCUACCCAGGGGGACAGCUUGAGGCUCUGUCUCAAAAAAAAAAAAAAGAGUUUCAAGAUUCUUAAAAUAAAGAGUACUGAGAUAUCAUCUAUUUUUUUUUUUGAGACAGAGCCUCAAGCUAUCCCCCUGGGUAGAGUAUUGUGGCAUCACAGCUCACAGCAACCUCCAACUCUUGGGCUCAAGCGAGUCUCUUGCCUCAG
rnacentral:SRP_RNA from 1 species